UUUAACCACAAUACCUCUUGUGUAUUUCAUAAUCCCUCAUUAUCUCCCAUCAUACACGAUUGCUGUCGCAUACAAACACGGACAGACGCACAAUCAAAUACAUAGACAGAUUAAACAAAAAAUCACACACCAUCACAACAUUUAUUAUCACACAGUAAUUAUACAGUCACAUAUAUACAGUGGUGUAUCCUGGUUUUGUGCUGCCCUAGGCAGGACAAAACUCAGGCGCCCCCUCCCCCCGCGCUGCCCCACCUUCUAAAUACACACACACAGUCAGACACACACACACACAGUCACACAUACACAGUCAGACACACACACAAACACACACACAGUCAGACACAAACACACACACACACAGUCAGACACAAACACCCUCGCACACAGUCAGACACAAACACCCUCGCACACAGUCAGACACAAACACCCUCGCACACAGUCAGACACAAACACCCUCGCACACAGACAGACACAAACACAGACGCACACAGACAGACACAAACACACAGUCAGACGCAAUAACUUUUUUUCAAAAUUUAAAUCCCCCCAACCUCCUUACCUUUGGGAGUGCUGGGGGAGGGGGUCUCUCUCUCCCUGGUGGUCCAGUGGCUGCCGGUCGGGCUGGGCGGCUCUGGCUGCUGUGCGGGUGGCUGGCGAG